GGUGAACGCUGGCGGCGUGCCUAAUACAUGCAAGUCGAGCGAACGGACGAGAAGCUUGCUUUUCUGAUGUUAGCGGCGGACGGGUGAGUAACACGUGGAUAACCUACCUAUUAGACUGGGAUAACUUCGGGAAACCGGAGCUAAUACCGGAUAAUAUUUUGAACCGCAUGGUUCAAAAGUGAAUGACGGUCUUGCUGUCACUUAUAGAUGGAUCCGCGCUGCAUUAGCUAGUUGGUAAGGUAACGGCUUACCAAGGCAACGAUGCAUAGCCGACCUGAGAGGGUGAUCGGCCACACUGGAACUGAGACACGGUCCAGACUCUACGGGAGGCAGCAGUAGGGAAUCUUCCGCAAUGGGCGAAAGCCUGACGGAGCAACGCCGCGUGAGUGAUGAAGGUCUUCGGAUCGUAAAACUCUGUUAUUAGGGAAGAACAUAUGUGUAAGUAACUGUGCACAUCUUGACGGUACCUAAUCAGAAAGCCACGGCUAACUACGUG
rnacentral:rRNA from 1 species